AGUGAACGCUGGCGGUAGGCCUAACACAUGCAAGUCGAACGGCAGCACAGUAAGAGCUUGCUCUUACGGGUGGCGAGUGGCGGACGGGUGAGGAAUACAUCGGAAUCUACUUUUUCGUGGGGGAUAACGUAGGGAAACUUACGCUAAUACCGCAUACGACCUACGGGUGAAAGCAGGGGAUCUUCGGACCUUGCGCGAUUGAAUGAGCCGAUGUCGGAUUAGCUAGUUGGCGGGGUAAAGGCCCACCAAGGCGACGAUCCGUAGCUGGUCUGAGAGGAUGAUCAGCCACACUGGAACUGAGACACGGUCCAGACUCCUACGGGAGGCAGCAGUGGGGAAUAUUGGACAAUGGGCGCAAGCCUGAUCCAGCCAUACCGCGUGGGUGAAGAAGGCCUUCGGGUUGUAAAGCCCUUUCGUUGGGAAAGAAAAGCAGCAGGUUAAUACCCCGCUGUUCUGACGGUACCCAAGGAAUAAGCACCGGCUAACUUCGUG
rnacentral:rRNA from 1 species